CUACGGGGCGCUGCAGUGGGGAAUCUUAGACAAUGGGCGCAAGCCUGAUCUAGCCAUGCCGCGUGAGUGACGAAGGCCUUAGGGUCGUAAAGCUCUUUCGCUGGGGAAGAUAAUGACGGUACCCAGUAAAGAAACCCCGGCUAACUCCGUGCCAGCAGCCGCGGUAAUACGGCGGGGGUUAGCGUUGUUCGGAAUUACUGGGCGUAAAGCGCGCGUAGGCGGAUCAGAAAGUUGGGGGUGAAAUCCCAGGGCUCAACCCUGGAACUGCCCUCAAAACUCCUGGUCUUGAGUUCGAGAGAGGUGAGUGGAAUUCCGAGUGUAGAGGUGAAAUGCGUAGAUAUUCGGAGGAACACCAGUGGCGAAGGCGGCUCACUGGCUCGAUACUGACGCUGAGGUGCGAAAGCGUGGGGAGCAAACAGGAUUAGAUACCCGGGUAGUC
rnacentral:rRNA from 1 species